CGCUGGCGUGUGAGACGAGAGGAGCGCGUGGUGGUCGCCGAGCACGACUCCCACGCGGCCCUUCCGCCAUGGGCGCCAGAGACCAAGAGCGACCACCCAGGCCCAGUUUUUGUUAGCUGAGUCAUUACUCCACAGUUGUGGCAUUCUAUUACCUGCAUUCUGGUCUGUCACCGUCAGCCCACGUUGGUUUCUGUCUUACAUCUACAGUUGUCCCAGCACCUCUUGCUGAAGAAAUAUUGCUUCCCCGUUGAGUGGUCACAGAACGCUUGGGGAGAACCGUCUGUCACAGAUGGAGGAGUUUCUCUUUGGACUGUCAGUUCUGUUCCGCUGACCUCUAGGGCCGAAUAGGAUCGCGUAGGUGUACCACAUUUUUGAAAACCACUCACUCAUGGGCACGUGUGAGAAAUGCCCUCACCCGUCCAAUGCCAAAGGAUGGACACGUGGAGACACGAGGGACUGGCAGAUCUUCACAUUCUUCAUGUGAUUCACCAGGAUUUCAAGGUCCAGAAUGUAAUGCUGACUGAGAAUGCAGAGGCGAAACUUGUUGAUUUCGGUGUGAGUGCUCAGCUAGACAGGAUGAUUGGGCAGAGAAAUACAUUCAUAGGCACCCCCUACUGGAUGGCUCCUGAGGUCAUUGCCAGUGACGAGAACCCAGACGCCACCUAUGACUACAGAAGUGACCUUUGGUCUUGAGGCAUUAUGGCCAUUGAGAUGGCAGAAGGUGCCCCCUCUCUCUGUGACGUGCAUCCGAUGAGAGCACUGUUUCUCAUUCCCAGAAAACCUUCUCCCUGGCCGAAGUCAGAAAAAUGGUCUGUCAGGCUGAUGUGGAGAGCACAUUUAAGAUUCUCAGACAGCCUGUUGUCUAGCUGUGAAGAUCUACCAGCACCACCUUACAUCUUUCAGGGGUCUUAAAAAGAGGUCUUGCAACCCAGAUUCAAGGGAGCAGAUGAACUCUUAUUGGAAGGAGUGCUGCGAUAUGCUUGGAUGGAAGGCAUUAUUGGUGGCUGUCUUUGGGAACAAUAUACCACAGAGCUGAAAGGAUCUUAGAGGUCAUAGGAUCCUACUUAUUUUGGACCAAAAUAAACCACUUUAGAGAUUAAGAAAUAAAAGGUGAAAAAGAAGAAAGCACUUGGCUACAAUCAUAAAGCAAGUUGUUAGCAAAGCAAGAAAGAAAUCCCAUAUUAAGGUGCAAAGUGCUUUCUAUUACCUAUCCCCUACGCUUAGUUGAAACAAACAAACAAACAAACACCCUCUUUAACAUACAUUAUGAGGCUUAUCAAAGAUGAAUUGUCUUUGAAGAAUCUUUUUUUAAGUUUUUAUUCAUACCAUUGUAAUGUUCCUUUAGUAUGCAGAAUAGAGUUGACUGUACCAGAAAGAUGUAAAAUCAUUGAGCAGCAGUCAGCACGAAGUGGGAAACCAAGCUCCCAAUUUUCGUAUUUUUGGAAUAUCUGGAGGAAAAAGAAAAUGCCAUUUGUCUGAGGGUUAUAAGUGUAUUUUGCUUUCCCUUUAUUCUUCGUGCAUUCAUGGAACAGAUGCUUUUUAAACACCUUCAAUAUGUCAGACUAUGUUCUCCGCAUCGGAGAUUGGUCUCUGAGACACGUACUAGGUGGGGUAUGGGCAGGUGGUAGUGGAAAUAUAAACAUGGAGUGAGCACAGAGGAAGUGACUUCACCUGGGGCAGCUGAACAAAGCCCUGCAGAAGAAGGAGCAGGAAUUCACCAGGGGUUGGUAACUGCGAUGAGCCCUGGGAGACAAGAGACUGUCCACAGCUGGAUGCAGUUAGGAUCUGGCACGAAGGACGGGCAGUGGUGGAAAGGCACACUCUGCAGAGGUUGGAGGCCUCACGCUGAACUUCGAGUUGGACAAGGACACUGCAGAGUCAGUAUCUGUAUAAGCAGGGGCAAAAAGAGAGAAAUGCAGCAUUUUCUGAGCCAACCUCAAAUCAGAGGCUCUUCACCCUGGAGUAGAAUGUAGAGCUUCCAAUUUAUUGGUCAACAUGAUGUCUAGUUUUGUUUUGCCAUUUUUGUUGUUGUUGAAGAACUUUCUAGAGAAUCGUGGCCAGAGCUAGCUGAGGGAGGCAGCUCAGAGGAAUGACACAUGCUCAUAAGAUCACCUAAGGUUAGCAAGGGUACAGUGACCUACGGAGGAAGUGACCAUGAUGAAUACAUCAAUGUUUUCCGUCUGGGCCAUGCCUUUCACUCAAAAAAGCAUUUUAAAUUUCCUUUAAAAUUGUGUACCCAUGCUUCAGGACCAUUGCCAUGAGACAGCUGGAACAGAAGUUGUAGAACAUGCUUUAAGCAAAGUGAGUGUAUGUUAUUUGAAAGAUCAUUUGUUUUUAGAACCUGCAGCAUUUCACUAAAAUGGACACUUGAGAUCACUUAGCUGAAAAUCUGCUACAAGUUAAAAAAAAAAAAAAAAGCCUAAUUCUCUCGUGCCCAGAUUGACAUAGGCAGGGUGAGUUUGUUCAGGUUUCUGCACAACGUCCAGAGGCUGGCUACCUGUCUAACCUCAACUGUGGCUCGAACACAAGGCUGGGAGCCAGAGCAGUCACCAUCUCCAAGAGGCAAUCAAGCUGCCCAGCAAAGAGAGCAGCGUCAGCAGAGGGCACAGCACCAUGAAAGAAACUACAGCGAACGUCCCAUUUCUAUCUCCAUGGCAGCCAGCCCAUUCCAUUCUCUGCAUGCUAUUUUCAUAUAGUCACAGCAGUUUGCGAGCUGAAUAGGAGAGAAGAAGGGUUUAAUGGGAUGAGCAGGGAAGAGAGGUAGAGAAAGAAACUCUCUGACUGUGAAUCCAGACCCAGUAAGACCUGGUUGCGUCUGUUGUAACCAAACCUAACUGGAAGUGGGGCAAGGCUUCACAUUGAAGUCAUGGCCGUCCCCUCACCUGCUGGCCUCUCUGCCUCUCUCUGCUGCCUGUCUUCCAUGGCCUCCUCCACAACUCUUCACUGAAGACCUUGACAUUCCCUGGUUCUUCCACAGGGUUCAGUCCAGUUGAGGCCAUCAAACCCUGAUCUGGGGCUUGGAAUGCUCCCUAGUGGACGGAGGAGAGGCUCUCCCUUCUCGCCCCCACCCCAAGGCUCAGCAGCCCUCCUGCUCACGCACCCCCUCAUCUCACAAUGGACGUGCGCUGCCAAAAGCAUGAUGCCUUAUGACAGGCUGGGAGCCAAGCCCUGAGAUUGCAUUAGAAUAUGGCUAGUUUCAGUGGCAGAUUUUGUCCGUUAAAACCUAUUACCAGUUCCUCCCAGAGGACAGCUGGUUCCAUUAUAGAAAACUGUGAAAUGAGUGACUUGAUGUCAGGUUUGUGCCAUAAAAAUGAGUAGGAAUCUUGCUUUCCAUUCUUUUAAAUUGAAGAUUCUUGCACUGAUACGUAUUUAUUUUUGACAUUUCUUGCUGACCCUGGUGGAGAGUCUGACCCUAGAAUAAUGAAUGCACAGAAAAACCUGUGUUGGCACUUAAGUCUUGCCUGUGUCACCCUCGUUUUCCCUUCUCAUUUGUGACAAAUUCAAAAAAUGCAACACUCUUAAACAGAUUUAUAAUCUGCACUCUUUUAAGCUGUCACUCAAUCUUUGUCUCAGAAAUAGGCUAUUGAAACCAAGCAGGAAAUAUUUCACAGAGACUAUGACAUUGCAAACUUGUUUCCAGGCUAAGAGGCAGGCCUUUGGUAGCUUCAGAAUUAUAAUAAGAACUCAGAAUAAUUGUUGCUCAUUGAAAUAAAGGAGGAGGUUCAUUUGGAAAUGCCAAAUGCACUUUAGCAGCCUUAAAAAUGGUGACUUCCUUUGUUUGGGCAUAAUUGAGUUUUUUAGAUGUUUCUUUCAGACCGGGGAUUUUUAUAGGAUGAAUCUCAAGUGUGUGUGAAAGGGUAAAGCUACAGUGAAUAUAAUAGUAAUGACUGUGGGUACAUUUUAAAACCUUGUAUUGUUAAAAAGAUUCCAUAUCUUGUUGGUCUAGCACUUAAUGCAGCUACUGAGAGUACAGAGCAAAAAUACGAGUCCUAGGAUUACUAGAGGUAGGAGAAGCACUGAAAUACUGAAGAGAUAAGAGGACUUACACCCCAGGACAGCCCUGAUGUUCAGAAAAAUGUACAAGUCACAAGGAGCCUUAGGAUCAUAGAACAAUACACAUGAAAAAGCCGGGAAACAACUGCUUGAAUUAAAAAAAUCGUAAAUGCUAUUUUUUUCCGGGAUGCAGAAAAUGUCCCAGCACCUAUUUUCUUCCCAGUUUAUCAAUUUAAAAUGGUGACCAGUAGAUUUUGGGGAAGGUGGUGGCAUGAGGGGCAAGUCCCAUUCUUGUAGGUAAGUUGACGCCCACUCUUAUUAGCACCAGCCACAAUAAACCCAGAACCUGGCCUGUCCCUGAAAUGUCACCAUCUUUACAUUCAGCCUGAUGGCCAGCAAUUCAGAGCCUGGGCUUCAGAGGCAGAGAAACAACGUGGGGGGCUGUGAUUUUUCCCACUGCCAAAUUUGAAUGUGAUAACUGCAGAAAUGUCAAAAAUCCCUUAUUCCCCCAAAUCAAAUUGUACUCUGAGCUCUCUGCUGGCAAAGUGUUAAGAAAUUCAAUCUUGGUCAUUGUUGGAACUCCUUAUCCCUAAAUUUAUGACUGUGAGAAAAAGUGGGGUUUCAUAAAGCCUAAAACAUUUAGAAAGUCUCCCAAAAUUUAGAUUUAUGCCAGUCAUUCAUGACACGGACUGUUUUUCUAAGUGCAGAGUCCCCUGAAUGAUUUCAUGUCCACCACUGUGUGUCGUGGUCGGGAGGGGAUCUUUGCUGAGACUGGGACUCCCCGUGCCCAGGCCUCCUGACCUAGUUGUGAUUCAAGGUCGUUCAUCUCUGAGGUCCACCAGGUUGUCAGGGAGUCAAAUAGCGGUUCUCUUCCCAAUUCUGGAGAAGUUCCUCCUCUCUGAGUUUGGCCAAUUGUAUCUUCCUUUCCAAGCUCUUUCUUCCACUUUCUUUCCCUUCUGGGAAGGUCUCCACCAAUAGCCUUUAGAAAAACAACAUUGACUCCUUCCCCUGUUUAUUGGAAGAAGGAACUAAAACUAAAUAGCUUUAAAGCAUUUUCUUAAAUCUGGAUUUAUGUUCUGAGUCCAUCACUUACUAGCUCUGUGACUUUGGAAAAGUUAAUUAAGGUCUCUGUGCCUUGGUUUUUGAAAAAGUGGCAAUAUCGUAUGGUUAUUAAAAAGGCACGUACAUUUUUAAGCUCAGUACAUAGAAGAAACACUCAUAAAAGAUGUUUUCAAUCAAGAUGGAAUUGUGGCUCUCCUGUUAAUUAGGUCUUGCCUUUAGAUAUCGAUUAGAAUAGUUUUUUUUUGACCAACAAUAUUUCUGAAACCAGUUGGCAAUCUGCACCAAGGAGUGCCAAUACCAAGUUGCAGCCUCCUGAGAAAGAAAUAAGGCCCAGAAAUAAGAAAUAAGGUGCCUCCCUCUAACCUGUUCUCCAGCCAGAGCCCAGGUAGGAUGAGCUAAAAGGACAUAUUCACGGUCCAGCUGUGGCCCUAGACAUGGGCUCAGAGACCUACACCUACUGCCCUCCAUCCUCAGCUCAACAGACAAUUCCCCAACACAACUCAAGAAGAAUUGUUUUUCAAACAAAGCUAACACAACAAUGGAUACAGAUACAUCAGGGGGAGAUCUUUGGAGAAACAGUUUAUCUGAAUAGUGGGUCUUGGUGGAGGGAUUUUAAUAGGUGCGGUAGACUGAAUGGUCACCCAGUGAUAUGGCAUAUCAGAUCCUAAUCUGGGAAACUGUAAAUCAUAUGUGAUUUGGAAAAAAAACAAGGUUUUUGCAGAUGUGAUUAAGUGGAGGACCUUGAGGUGGGGAGACCAUCCUGGAUAAUUCUGCGGGCUGUAAGUGACAUCACAAGCAUCCUUGUGAGAGAGAAGCACAGCAAGACUCGGCACACACACAGAGGAGAAGGCAGCACAGAGACGAAGUGAAAAGACACGUGAAGGUGCUGGUCCUGAAGCUUCCAGGGAUGCGAUCAUGCCAGGGUUUGCCAGCAGCCACAAGGAGCUGGAAGAGGCCAGGAGUGGGUUUCUUUCCACAGCCUCUGGAGGGAGAGUGGCCCUGCUGACACCUUGAUUUUGGUCCAGUGGUGCUCGUUUUGGAUGUUUGGGCUUCAGAACUGUGAGAGAAUAGAUUUCUGUUGUUUUAAGCCACCAAGUUUGUAAUUUGUUAUAGCAGCCAUAGGAAACUAACGCCGUAGGAAAAAAGAACUUGUUUGAACUUGUUCCCAACUUCAACUUGACUUGUUGAAGAUGGGAAAAUGUGAUAACAUGGAGGGAAGAAGGGAAUGUCCAUCCCUUGCAAAACUGAUGCUUCACGCCCCAUGGAAUUAAACAGAGUUCGGAGUGUGGGUCUGUAGGAUUUGGGGAAUAUGCAGGGUUGCUAUUGAUACUGCUGUGAAUUAGGUAUAGGCGUGGAACAAACAACUCCAUAAAUAAAAGACAAGCUGGCAGAGCAGUUUUUAAGCCAAAAUGAAAUGGCUUCCAUCUUCAUAAACUAUCUCAAAUGUAACAUCAGUGAGCAAGGCCAAGACAUAGUGUCAUGGAGAGAAAAACGGGUUCUCCCAGUUCCCUCUAUAGCUACUGAAAUAAUGUUAACUUUUGCGUUUUGCUAAUGAUACGAUACAAUUCUGUGCUGGUAAUGCUUGCAAUAUCGGUUUAUGGUAUAUGACUACCACCUGCUUUAUUGUAAUAGGAAAACAGACUAAACAAAGUUGAAAAUUCAUAAUUUUUUUCAGCUAGGUCCUUUGGGUUAACAAUGGGAGGUGGCAGAGAAUACACAAACUGGAAUUAUUAGAAAACUCUGCACAUGCCCACACAAAAAGAGUACCUUAGGUGUAGCUCCCCACCCCAGUAAAAACUCGAUUCGUAAAACAGAACAAAAUUUGAAAUUGAAAGUUUUCUAUUUCAUUUGAGAACAAAAGAGGAUGCACUGUUUCUUAAAUAAGAAGAACCCAGAUUUAAAAUAUAAAGAAAUGAACCUGAUAAAAACAAAGUAAACAGUUUACAGAAUAAGCUACAAAACAGAUGCUCAGAUUUACAUCUGAGUGAUAACUCCAGAAUAUAGAGGAAAACUUUUUAAAGUAAUUGAAGAGAAUGUGUAGAAAGGUAAAUGGACAUAUUGUAAGAAUUCAAUACUUUUAUUUAUUUUUUACUUUGAAAAGAAAGAUGAUGGAUAUGGAGGUUAAAUAAAAGGAUCCAAUCUGUUAAUAAAAAAGCCCCUACUCCCCCAAGAAGCAACCACCACUCAUCAAAAAAAUGCAAUACCUAGUUAAAAAUUGUACCUUCAAAACUAACACAGAAGAGAAAAAUCCAGAACUUAUAAAAGAUCCAAGGAUUAGAAAUCAAUAGGACAAAAUAAGUUCAAAUAAACAAAUCUUUUGUGUAGAUUUUGAACUUAAAGAAUAACAGGAUAAUCCUGUUAGCCUCAAACAGUGUGACCAUUUAUGUUCAGAGGAGUCAAACUCAAGUUAGCUUCAGAUUUUCUUUCUGCCACCAUCUUACACACAUAGUUUUAGAGCAUUUGUCAAGGCUCAUAUAGAUUUUCUCAGAUCUGUAGGGUCUCAGAUGAUAUGUUAUUCAAUGUGCCUUUUUGAAAAAAUGAUAAAAAAAAAACAUAAGGAAAUAUUUUGCACAGUGCAGAGACUGUCAUUUGUAAAGAAUAGGAUAUAGGCACUGAAAUACAGUUGUUGCAUUGGUGAUUACAGACACUGAGCAGUAAUAAAUACAGAUUACUGCACAUGAAACAUGAGUACCCAAAUCCUCCAGUCGGCUCUUCUUUGGUUUCCAAAUACAGUAGCCAGAGACCCAUCCUACAAGUCCAAAGUGUCCAGCAUUCUCCUGCUCUGGUUUUUUGGGGGAACUUCUGCCAUGCUUGGUCCACUCUACCCCUAAAUGUGAACAUAGCUCACCUCACCCCUUCACCAAACAACCACAAACACGAUACUGGAAUGUAAAUCUUACAAGAUUGGGGAUUUUGUCAUUUCCAUAUAGUGGGUAUCUCCAAGACUUACAGUGAUGUUCAGUAAAUGAAAUGGUAAAUGCUAUUGUCAGUGACAAAUGUUUUCUGAAGCUUUGACAGUGGUGGUGAUGAUCGAUGGUCUCAAGCAGGAAAUAACUCAGAUUUGAUAUUAUGCAUCACUGUUCCUAAAGUUUCAUGGUCAUCUCUGCCAUUGCAUAAUCUUGUCCUCACAGCAAUUUUCAUCCUCAGGCUUCUGUCCUCCUGCCCUGUGGUCAGGCUGGUCCUCAUGCUAAAACUUCCUCAUCUCCUUCCUUCUCUGAGCUCAAAGGGCCCUAAGGCUUUCUUGCUCAUGUCUUCAAAACAUGGGAAUCCAUUCAUCAGGAAGUGCACCCUUAGUUCUGCUUUAGUCAGCUGUGUUAGCCCAAGCUUUAUCUCUCAUGACCAAAGACCUUUCACACAUAUUCCAGAGCAAAAGACGUGUCCUCUUGCCAAAAAAAGAAAAAAAAAAAAGCUUUCCAUUUCUUUGAAGUUAGAGACCAACUAAAGUUUAAAAAAUAAUCACAUUACCCUACACACAUGCCUUUAUUUUCCCUGGUCCUGUGUGAUUGGUAAUUAGAGAUGCUGAAAGAAAGGAAAAAUUUAAAAAGUGAAAUUAAUGCCCAACAUGGUGAUGGCUGAGGUAAUGAAAAUUAAAGAAGAAAAAGGAAAACUUAAAAUUGAAAAAAAAUUCCUUGCUUACAGACAUUAAGAACAGUUCAUCCUUGAAGAAUUUUAUUUAAAGCAUUUACGCAAAAUAUCUGAAUUAAAAGGCUGCUAACAGCAAGCGUAGGCAUAGCUAGAGGACAAGAAGAAUGGCUAUGCACCGCUGGUGGAAUGUAAUUUGAUGCAACCACUUCAGAAAACAAUUUGGGAAUAGUUAGAAAAUGUGAGGAUGCACAUGUGUUACGUACGACCCAGUGAUCUCUCCCUCAGGAAUUUACCCUACAGAGUCCCCAGCACAAGCACACGUGCACACAGGAAGAAAUGCUCCUAUCAGCAUUGCUCAUAAUAGCAAAUAUUUGGAAACAAACUACAUCCAUCAACAGAAGACUGGACAAGUCAGCUGUGGUAUAUCCAAUAACAGAACAUUGUACGGAAGUAGUCAAGUGCCUUCAGAAGUCGUCCAGAUAUAAGUAGGUCUCAAAUCUGCCUGUACAUCAGAAUCACCUCAGGAACUUUGAAAAACCAGAUUUUGAAUCAGAAUCUAUGGGUGUAGGGCCUUGUGGAGUGUACUAACAUUAAUAGAGCAAAUGUAUUUCACAGGGCUGAGCUUCCAAAGCCCUGUAGUUUCAGGUAUAACCUAACUUUUUAAAAUUACAUAUAGAAAUGUUAAGCUUGCGAAAGACAGGACAUUUUCCCCAGGCUAAAGUCUCUGUUGUAGGUAAAGAAUUGUAACAGCAAAAUUGCUGGCUCAAGGACAGAUGUCCUUGGUUAACCUACCAAUUGAUAUGUUAAGAAAGUUUCUUGAUAGUUGUGUAAAAAUACUAAGGAAAUUGCUGUAAGAAAAGACAGUGGUUGCUAAGAACAAACUUUUGUUGGUGGAUCGACUUAACCUUUCACAAAUUGCAUUAUGGAAUGUCACUUUGUUUAUUUCACUGAUGUUAAUAGUUUCCAUCUGUUAAAAACUAUACUUAGCCGUAAUUCUGCCCAUAUCCUUGUGUUUUUGUAAUUAUUAAAUCAACUGAAUUUUCUUGUGAAACUUCCUUGUCUUUACAAUAAAAGGGAGAGGCUAACUUUGAAUCGCUGCUGACACAUUCAGUUUUCUCUUCCUAAUGGGGAAAUUACUGAAGUGCAGUCCUUUCAAGCCUCUCAUGCAUACAUA